rnacentral:rRNA from 1 species
AACGAACGCUGGCGGCAUGCCUAACACAUGCAAGUCGAACGAGAGCUUCGGGUCUAGUGGCGCACGGGUGCGGAGCGCGGGGGAACCUGCCCUUAGGUUCGGGAUAACUCCCCGAAGGGGGUGCUAAUACAGGAGAAUGUCUUCGGACCAAAGAUUUAUCGUCUUUGGAUGGGCCCGCGUUGGAUUAGCUGGUGGGUAGGGUAAAAGCCUACCAAGGCGACGUUGCCUAGCUGGGCUGAGCGCAUGCUCCGCCACACUGGGACUGAGACACGGCCCCGAAUGCUACGGGACGCAGGAGAGGAUAAUAUUGUACGCUGGGCGCUGGCCUGAUACAGCCAUGCCGGGUGAGUGAUGCAGCCCUUAGGGUUGUAAAGCUCUUUUACCCGGGGUGAUAAUGACAGUACCGGGAGAAUAAGCUCCGGCUAACUCCGUG